CAGUCAGAGGAAUGAUGUAUUACAGGAAAGCUCUAAAGUUACAAGCUUUUCUUGACAUGGCUG
rnacentral:snoRNA from 1 species